ACAGGAGAUUUGAAAAGGGUGCGCGGUGGAUGCCUUGGCUUAGGACAGCGAUGAAGGACGUAACUAGCUUGCGAUAAGCUUCGGGGAGGCGGCUUGUGGCCUUUGAUCCGGAGAUCUCCGAAUGAGGAAACUCUCUCGCCUUUGGCGAGAAUCCUUCAAGUAACGUUGAGGGAAGCAUACCUCGGGAAGUGAAACAUCUCAGUACCGAGAGGAAAAGAGAACAAAUGCGAGUUGCUUUCUGUUCGCGCGUAUAGUCGUGCGAAUGGAAAGCGACUCUUGUGAUUCCCCAAGUAGCGGCGAGCGAAAAGGGAGGAGCCCAAACCAAGCAUGUACGCAAGUACGUGCUCGGGGUUGUAAGGCAGUGAUAUCGUGUUUACACGACAGGAGUUACGAAGCGAUGCGUUAGGAGAAUCUGCUGGAAAGCGGAGCCCCAGAGGGUAAUGGCCCCGUAUCCGAAAACAAAUCGCCUCUUGUGUCACUGUUCUUGAGUAGCUCGAGACACGAAUAGCUCGAGCGAAUCUGCCAGGACUAACUGGCAAGGCUACAUAUGUCCUACGACCGAUAGCGAACAAGUACCGUGAGGGAAAGGUGAAAAGAACCCCGAGAGGGGAGUGAAAUAGAACUGAAACCGCGUACUUACAAAGGGUGGCGGCGGAUUUAUUCCGUUGCCGCAUGCCUAUUGAAGAAUGAGCCGGCGAGUGUGUGUAUGUUGCGUGAGCUAAGCCCCUCCGGGGCGGAGCUUAUAGGGAAACCGAGUGUGAUAAGCGCGUUUGUAGCAUACAUACGACCCGAAGCCAGAUGAGCUUGCCAUGAGCAGGGUGAACGUCUCCGAAAGGAGGCGGGAGGCCCGAACUCAUAUGUUGUACAACGCAUUGGGAUGACUUGUGGCAAGGAGUGAAAAGCUAAUCGAAUCUGGGAAUAGCUGGUUCUCUCCGAAACAGCUUUUGGGCUGGCGUCGCGAUAUAUGUGUCUGGAGGUAGAGCACUGGAAGGGACCAACAGGGAGAAAUCUCGUGGUCCCUAUCAACCUCCGAAUGCCAGACACCUGCGCGGCAGUUAGAAGGUGGGGGCGAAGCUCCAUCGAUCGAGAAGGGAAGAGCCUAGAUCGCCAGUUAAGGCCCCAAAAUCGACAUUCAGUACAUCACAAGGAAGUGCGGACUCAUAGACAGUGAGGAUGUUGGCUUAGAAGCAGCCACCAUUCAAAGAAAGCGUAACAGCUCACUCAUCGAGAGUCCGUGCGCCGAAGAUAAUCGGGGUUAAAUGUCGUGCCGAAACUGCGGAUGAGCACAUAAUUUAUUAUGUGCUCGUGGUAGGAGAGCGUUCGUAGUGCGCUGAAGGUAAAGGGGUAACCCAUGCUGGAGCGCUACGAAGUGAGAAUGCCGGUACAAGUAACCACAAUGCGGGUGAGAACCCCGCACGUCGAAAGACCAAGGUUUCCUUAGCCAUGGUAAUCAGCUAAGGGUUAGUCGGGCCUAAGGGGAUGGUGAAAACCGCACCCGAUGGACACACGGUCAAUAUUCCGUGACCAGAGUUAGGGCGAUGGAGUGACGGACUGCUGUAUAUGCUGCCGGGGAUUGGAUCUCGGUUAUUGGUGUGAGGGCGCGCUGUAGGCAAAUCCGCAGCGCUCCGCCGAAAGGCGGGAUCCCAAGCAUUAACGCAAUUUUCUUCUACGGAGGGAGAGAGAGCAUAAAGCGCGGUCUCAAGAAAAACUUCUAGUAUUCAACUUAACUCUGUCCGUACCGCAAACCGACACAGGUGGUCAGCUCGAGUAGAGCAAGACGAACGAGUGAGAUGUCCUCAAGGAACUCGGCAAAAAAGCGGCCGUAAGUUAGCGAUAAGGCCUGCCCCGCCGCAAGGCGGGGCCGCAGUGAAAGUUUCCCUGGCAACUGUUUACCAAAAACACAGCUCCCUGCGAACUCGUAAGAGGAGGUAUAGGGGGUGACGCCUGACCAAUGCCGGAAGGUCAACCACGGUGGGUUCAUUUCGCAAGAAAUGAGCUGGACUGUGUAAGCCCCGGUGAAUGUCGGCGAUAACUAUAAUCGUCCUAAGGUGUUGGGUUUGAUCCUCGGAUCGAACCCGGCAGGACUAGGACGAUUGUAGAAAAGAUUUUGGUAAUUACGCAGAAUGCUGCCUCGUCAUGUAGUAAUGCAUGAUGGGUCCUAAAAUAAACAUGACUAUAUGCUGGGAAGCGAUUCGUAAUCGCAAUCAGCAGGGAAGACUCGUGUGCUUCGAAGCGCGCGAGAACCCUCAGAUACCAAACGUCGUGCCCCUGUUUCGCGUAAAGCUACGCAGGGUGAAGACAGAGUACUCCGUUGAAAGGAACGGAUAGCGCAAUUCCUUGUCGGGUAUGGAAGAUGCCCGUUCCAGAAGCGAUUCUGGAAGCAAAAUUGGCUAUAACGGUGGAGUCCUCGCUGGAGCGUCGCCCAAAUCGAUGCGAUGAAGGCAGGAGAAUACCGUGGGAAGUCGUCCUGAGAGAAAUCGAAGGAUUGACCCCGUAUCGACUUUGGUCGCCAAUGUCCAUUGGCGACCAAGAUGGUGUAUCAUGUAGCAAUACGAUGAGACGCCAUAAUACGCCAACGCUGAAGACGAAUGUGCGGAAUCUCAACGAAUAUAUUUCAGGUUUUUCUGACGGAGAAGGAUGCUUUUCAGUAUCCUUCUCCAAGCGCGACAAAUUCUUGAUUGGAUGGGAGACAAAACCAAGCUUUUGUGUGGCCCAAAACCACGACCGAGCUGAAGUGUUGUUUCUCAUGCACAAGAAGUUCGGAUGUGGAUUCAUGAGAAGAGAUGCGAAAGACCGGACUUUGAAAUACGAAGUCCGUUCCCUCAACGAUCUUCUUACCAAAGUCAUUCCGCAUUUCGAGAACUAUCCGUUACGGUCAGGAAAGUCCAAAGACUUCAAACUAUUCAAGCAAGUCUGCCUCCUUAUGGAUAAGGGAAGGCAUACAACGCUGAAUGGAUUGAAAGAAAUCACCCGACUCGCAUUCAAAAUGAAUCCGAGCGGGAUGAGAAAAUAUAAACGCGAUGAGAUUUUAGCUCGCGCCCGUUAUCAGAUGAAGAUAUAGUCAGUGCCCGUAGAAAUACGGGGAGAACAUGAAAUUCCGACGUGCACGAAUGGCGUAAUGACUGGGGAACUGUCUCGAGGACUCGCUCGGUGAAAAUGCACUUCCGGUGAAGAUGCCGGAUACCUGUAGGUAGACGAAAAGACCCUAGGAGCUUUACUACAGCUUCGUAUUGGCCGUACGUGAUACAUGCGUAGCAUAGAGGGGAGAGGUUGAAGUGCCGCUUUCGGGUGGCAUGGACUCGUCAGUGAAAUACCCUUCUUGUCUCGUGUACGGUCUAACCUCUGUGGGAUCCACAGGGGGACCGUGCGUGGCGGGUAGUUUUGGUGGGGCGCUAUCCUCGAAUAGCAGCGCCCGUCCGACCAAUGUCUUAAAAAUGGAGAAUUAAAAUAAGGGGGACUGCGUGGAGAAAUCUGCGUAAGCAAUUUGGCCAAAUGCUGGAACAUCCGAGGAUCUUCAAGUACUCAUUCGCGUAAGCGAGUAGUGAAAAUCUUGAAGUGCGGACAAUCAGCAGGGAAGCUUGUUCGAGAACUGGAAGAUGGAAUAUCCAUUUUUGGGAGGACUCGCUCCUCCCCAUCUUUCAGUUCUUGAGCAGAACCCUCAGAGACUACAUGCCAGACUCGUCGAAAGACGAUGAAGAUAUAGUCCGAUCUUCGUAGCGAUACGAAGGUGUAGCAAUAACUACACAUCCAUGAACACGAAAGAAAUUCGUGAGAAAAAGAAAGAUCUUACGUUAUCCAAACGACAGCGAGAAUUGAUCGUCGGGCUUUUGCUCGGCGACGGGCAUCUUGAGACUCAAAACGGCGGCAGGACGUAUCGACUUAAAGUCGAACACGGCUCCGCCCAGCGCGAAUACCUUGAGUGGCUCGCGCAUGAAUUUCAAGAAUGGAUUCUGUCUGGUUGGUAUGAAAAGCACAAAAGAGAAAAAGUGGUGUAUGGAUUCACAACCGUGAGUCAUCCAGCACUUCGAUUUUAUGGUGCACAAUUCUAUCAAAGCGGAAAGAAGCGAAUCCCACCGCUUAUCAAGAAAUUGAUGAGCUCGCUAUCACUUGCGAUUUGGUUUCUUGACGAUGGUUCAGCAAAAUCAUCCAAGCACCGCUCGCUCGUGAUACAUUCACUCGGAUAUACAAAGAAAGAUCUUGUUCUAGUGCAAGAGGCACUUCGACACUUCGGUAUCGAAGCCGCCCUGCACAAGCAACGCAAUGGUUCAUUCCGACUGUAUCUGCCCUACGCAAGUUCGCUCAUCAUUGAGCAAUUUGUUCGGCCGAUACUUACUGAAGUGCCGUCGCUUGCUUACAAAGUGGAGAACAUCAAGCCUAAAGAGUAACGGAGGAGUUCAUCAAGGUCAGCUAGGCGCGAAUGGAAACCGUGCCGAUAGCGUAAGAGUAAAAGCUGGCUUAACUGCGAGACAUACUAGUCGAGCAGAUGCGAAAGCAGGAUCUAGUGAACCGAUGCGCCGCCUUAGACGCGGCCAGAGAUUAACGGAUAAAAGUUACCCUAGGGAUAACAGGCUGGUACCGCCCAAGCGUCCAUAGCGACGGCGGUGUUCGGCACCUCGAUAAACCAAGCCGGAUGUCGAGGAAAUAAAAUCAGCUCAUAACGGAGAAAGCCAUGCACCGUGUACUUCGCGGUACAAUAAGAAUGUAUGGUCAACCCCGUGGGAAGUUGUGAGAACAAACACUGGCAGAAGAAAUGGUCUCAACUUAAAAAAGACAUAACGCUUUCGCCGUUACAGCGGUCAUUCAUAAUUGGAUCAUUGCUUGGCGAUGGAACCAUGCGAGUCGGGAAGAAAGGCGUCAAUGCCAACUUCAAGGCAGAACAGGGUUUACAACAAAAAGAAUAUGUUUUUUGGAAGUAUGACAUUCUAACGAAUUGGGUGUUUACGGAGCCAAAGAUAAGCAUGCGCUACGACCCACAAGGGAGUGCGUAUGCAAAGUCAUGGUGGUUUCGAACCAUACGCCACCCGAUUCUCACAGAAAUCUACAAUUACUUCUAUACGCGUGAUGGAUAUCGUGUAGGAAGAAAGAUUGUACCGAGUGAUAUUGCGACUCAUCUUGAUGCAUUUGCGCUCGCUGUCUGGAUUAUGGACGACGGGAGCUAUUCGAGAGGAUGUAUCGAUAUCAGCACCUACUCAUUUCAACUGUCAGAAAUUCAUUUGUUGAAAGAAGCGCUUGAAAGAAAUUUCAAUGUGCGCAUUGGAUAUCACAAAGAUAGAGACAAAGGAUAUCGAAUGUAUUGCAACAAAAGCGAGACUCAAAAGCUCGUACGAACUAUUUACCCGUACAUCGUGCCCAGCAUGAUGUAUAAGAUAGGUUCUCAUUAACCCCGUAACGACUGGAUCCGAAGCGUGAAAACGUGGAGGUGAAGAUAGCGGAAUGUGCGAAUUGCCGCUAUAAGACGCUGAUAUGUAAGAACGGUAAUCUUGCAUAUGGUAUAGUCUGCGCCCGUAGUAAUACGGGAACUAUAUAAGGAAAUGUAUAUAAAAGUGGUCGGCUCACCUUAGCGCCGGGCUGGAGCAGGUCCGAAGCGUUUGGCUGUUCGCCAAUUAAAAAGGUACGCGAGCUGGGUUCAAACCGUCGUGAGACAGGUUGGUCUCCUAUCUCCUACAGGCGUUGAUUAUUGAGGAGGGUCGUCCCUAGUACGAGAGGACCGGGAUGAACUGACCUAUGGUCUGGGGGCUGUCGUGCCAACGGCACCGCCCCGUAGCUAAGUCGGGUUGCGAUAACCGCUGAAAGCAUCUAAGCGGGAAACGCGCUCCAAGAUAAGUAAUCGUUAUGAGGCCCCUCGAAGAUUACGAGGUUGAUAGGCUCUAUGUGAAAGUGCCGCAAGGCAUUGAGCAGAGGAGUACUAAUACGCCGAUAUCUCUUGUGC
rfam:Candidatus Kaiserbacteria bacterium RIFCSPHIGHO2_02_FTLL_56_30 rifcsphigho2_02_scaffold_7167, whole genome shotgun sequence.